GACGAACGCUGGCGGCGUGCUUAACACAUGCAAGUCGAACGGAAAGGCCCUGCUGUUGUGGGGUGCUCGAGUGGCGAACGGGUGAGUAACACGUGAGUAACCUGCCCUUGACUUUGGGAUAACUUCAGGAAACUGGGGCUAAUACCGGAUAGGAGCUCCUUCUUCAUGGUGGGGGUGGGAAAGGUUCGGCGGUUGGGGAUGGACGGCCGGCUUUGCAGCUUGUUGGUGGGGUAGUGGCUUACCAAGGCUGUGACGGGUAGCCGGCGUGGGAGGGUGACCGGCCACAUUGGGACUGGGAUACGGCCCAGACUCCUACGGGAGGCAGCAGUGGGGAAUAUUGCACAAUGGGCGGAAGCCUGAUGCAGCAACGCCGCGUGCGGGAUGACGGCCUUCGGGUUGUAAACCGCUUUCGCCUAUGACGAAGAGUGAGUGACGGUAAUGGGUAAAGAAGCACCGGCUAACUACGUG
rnacentral:rRNA from 1 species